rnacentral:rRNA from 1 species
UACGUAGGGGACGAGCGUUGUCCGGAAUUACUGGGCGUAAAGGGCGCGCAGGCUGUGCUGCAAGUCAGCUGUUAAAUGUCUGGGCUUAACCCGGGCAUGCGGUUGAGACUGCGGUGCUGGAGUGCUGUAGAGGCAAGUGGAAUUCCCAGUGUAGCGGUGAAAUGCGUAGAUAUUGGGAAGAACACCGGUGGCGAAGGCGACUUGCUGGGCCGGUUCUGACACUGAUGCUCGAAAGCCAGGGGAGCGAACGGG